AUUUACCUGGAUUGUUUUUAUAUGGACACUCGGUUUAUGAACUACAACUAUUUUCCUGGAUUAUUGUUGUUAUAUGGACAUAAAAUCUUUGGACUGUAACUGUUCUGCUCCUGUUCUUUUGGAGAUGUGAAUCAAAAAUGAUACUUCUGUGUAUGAUGUGAACCGUCCUUCAAACUAGUGCCUCUACAAAUGUUUUCCAUUUUUUGGGUUCUGUUCCUUUUGGAUUUGUAUUGCGAUCGACUAAACCAGCUGAACAUCCUAAGUGCACUUUAACAUAAAUUAACCAAACUUGUCUGCAGAUUGUAAAUAUGGGGAGUAUUGUUUUUGUUUAUUUAGUUUUUCAAGGCACUUUAACAUGGUACCAGCAUUAAAUAUGAAUUAUGUGUCUGUUAUUUACCUUUCCUUUUUCAAGCCAGAACUUUAGCUUCUGAUAGCCCACAAAUUUUAGCUAUGAAUUCUGCUAUCACUGCACAUGUUUAACUUAUAUGCUCCAAAUUUGUGGUAAAGCUUAAAAAUCUCCAUCGAUGCGUACAUAUCACCCUUUUCUCCUUCCUGGUCACACACACCUUCACUGCUGCAAUCAGCAUGAUUUCACCUACAUAGAAUCUGUUCUAUUUAAGCGCUCUCCUGCCUGCUUGUCAGUGCCUGAUUGUUGAAAACUCUCCCCCUCAGUAGAUGUCCAGUGUUUCUUCCAUGCCCUUGUCUGACCUCCUCAUUAGAACUUUGUACCCUGGAUUCUUCUGCCUUGCCUUCAUCUGACUUCUGCCAAGCAUCUGAUCUCUGGGCAUUGACUCUGUUUCUGUGUCCUGACCACCAAGCCUUACCAAUCCCUAGGAUAAACAGUCUUAUCCCUCCGUCUUUGUCCGUGACUCUUGUCCAUCUCACUGCUAUCCCUCUGGAUCCUGAAUUUGUUACUGCUGUGUCUUCUGACUUCUGUGUGCCGAACCAAGACUGCUCUAUACUUCUUUCUCUUUUUUUUUUUUUUUUUUUCCCAUUACCUGUUGUGACAUCAUCCUGUACGCCCUCUGCUUCCUACUUCCUCUCAAGAGAGGUGUAAGCAACAGCACAGCUUCCAGGCAGGAAAGGAAGUGUUUGGAUACAGAGACGGUCACCUUCUUUUGGAAGCUCACAAAGGAUAAAAAGCGUGUAGGGACAUCCAUCUCAGAUCAAAGCCUGUACACUGGUCCAGAAAAAGAGAUUAUCCGACUCCCACCACUUGCAUAUUGAGAAUAAACCUUGUUAAACAUG